rnacentral:rRNA from 1 species
GAUGAACGCUGGCGGCGUGCCUAAUACAUGCAAGUCGAGCGAACAGACGAGGAGCUUGCUCCUCUGACGUUAGCGGCGGACGGGUGAGUAACACGUGGAUAACCUACCUAUAAGACUGGGAUAACUUCGGGAAACCGUAGCUAAUACCGGAUAAUAUUUUGAACCGCAUGGUUCAAUAGUGAAAGACGGUCUUGCUGUCACUUAUAGAUUGAUCCGCGCUGCAUUAGCUAGUUGGUAAGGUAACGGCUUACCAAGGCAACGAUGCAUAGCCGACCUGAGAGGGUGAUCGGCCACACUGGAACUGAGACACGGUCCAGACUCCUACGGGAGGCAGCAGUAGGGAAUCUUCCGCAAUGGGCGAAAGCCUGACGGAGCAACGCCGCGUGAGUGAUGAAGGUCUUCGGAUCGUAAAACUCUGUUAUUAGGGAAGAACAAAUGCGUAAGUAACUAUGCACGUCUUGACGGUACCUAAUCAGAAAGCCACGGCUAACUACGUG